ARGGKUMASWCCCAACCCAAUGUGAACCAUACCAAACUGUUGCCUCGGCGGGGUCACGCCCCGGGUGCGUCGCAGCCCCGGAACCAGGCGCCCGCCGGAGGGACCAACCAAACUCUUUCUGUAGUCCCCUCGCGGACGUUAUUUCUUACAGCUCUGAGCAAAAAUUCAAAAUGAAUCAAAACUUUCAACAACGGAUCUCUUGGUUCUGGCAUCGAUGAAGAACGCAGCGAAAUGCGAUAAGUAAUGUGAAUUGCAGAAUUCAGUGAAUCAUCGAAUCUUUGAACGCACAUUGCGCCCGCCAGUAUUCUGGCGGGCAUGCCUGUCCGAGCGUCAUUUCAACCCUCGAACCCCUCCGGGGGGUCGGCGUUGGGGAUCGGGAACCCCUAAGACGGGAUCCCGGCCCCGAAAUACAGUGGCGGUCUCGCCGCAGCCUCUCCUGCGCAGUAGUUUGCACAACUCGCACCGGGAGCGCGGCGCGUCCACGUCCGUAAAACACCCAACUUCUGAAAUGUUGACCUCGGAUCAGGUAGGAAUACCCGCUGAACUUAAGCAUAUCAAURAGCGGGAGGAGAAA
rnacentral:rRNA from 1 species